GUUCGGAUUGUAGUCUGCAACUCGACUACAUGAAGCUGGAAUCGCUAGUAAUCGCGGAUCAGAAUGCCGCGGUGAAUACGUUCCCGGGUCUUGUACACACCGCCCGUCACACCAUGGGAGUUUGUAACACCCGAAGUCAGUAUCCUAACCGCAAGGGGGGAGCUGCCGAAGGUGGGAUAAGCGACUGGGGUGAAGUCGUAACAAGGUAAC
rnacentral:rRNA from 1 species